AACGAACGCUGGCGGCAUGCCUAACACAUGCAAGUCGAACGAGACCUUCGGGUCUAGUGGCGCACGGGUGCGUAACGCGUGGGAACCUGCCCUUAGGUUCGGAAUAACUCCCCUAAAGGGGUGCUAAUACCGGAUAAUGUCUUCGGACCAAAGAUUUAUCGCCUUUGGAUGGGCCCGCGUUGGUUUAGCUAGUUGGUAGGGUAAAAGCCUACCAAGGCUACGAUCCAUAGCUGGUCGGAGAGGAUGAUCAGCCACACUGGGACUGAGACACGGCCCAGACUACUACGGGAGGCAGCAGUGGGGAAUAUUGGACAAUGGGCGAAAGCCUGAUCCAGCAAUGCCGCGUGAGUGAUGAAGGCCUUAGGGUUGUAAAGCUCUUUUACCCGGGAUGAUAAUGACAGUACCGGGAGAAUAAGCUCCGGCUAACUCCGUG
rnacentral:rRNA from 1 species